rnacentral:rRNA from 1 species
GAUGAACGCUGGCGGCGUGCCUAAUACAUGCAAGUCGAGCGAACGGACGAGAAGCUUGCUUCUCUGAUGUUAGCGGCGGACGGGUGAGUAACACGUGGAUAACCUCCCUAUAAUACUGAGAUAACUUCGGGAAACCGGAGCUAAUACCGGAUAAUAUUUUGAACCGCAUGGUUCAAUAGUGAAAGACGGUCUUGCUGUCACUUAUAGAUGGAUCCGCGCUGCAUUAGCUAGUUGGUAAGGUAACGGCUUACCAAGGCAACGAUGCAUAGCCGACCUGAGAGGGUGAUAGGCCACACUGGAACUGAGACACGGUCAAGACUCCUAAGGGAGGCAGCAGUAGGGAAUCUUCCGCAGUGGGCGAAAGCAUGACGGAGCAACGCCGAGUGAGUGAUGAAGGUCUUCGGAUCGUAAAAAUCUGUUAUUAGGGAAGAACAUAUGUGUAAGGAACUGUGCACAGCGUGACGGUACCGAAUCAGAAAGCCACGGCUAACUACGUG